GACGGAGGAGGCAAGCGUUGUUCGGAAUUAUUGGGCUUAAAGCGCGUGUAGGCGGCUCGGUAAGUGCUUUGUGAAAUCCCCCGGCUCAACCGGGGAACUGCUGGGCAUACUGCCGGGCUUGAGGCUGGUAGAGGUGACUGGAACUCUAGGUGGAGCGGUGAAAUGCGUAGAUAUCUAGAGGAACGCCUGAGGCGAAAGCGGGUCACUGGGCCGGUUCUGACGCUGAGACGCGAAAGCGUAGGGAGCAAACAGG
rnacentral:rRNA from 1 species